rnacentral:rRNA from 1 species
UACGUAGGGUGCAAGCGUUAAUCGGAAUUACUGGGCGUAAAGCGUGCGCAGGCGGCUAUGCAAGACAGAUGUGAAAUCCCCGGGCUCAACCUGGGAACUGCAUUUGUGACUGCAUAGCUAGAGUACGGUAGAGGGGGAUGGAAUUCCGCGUGUAGCAGUGAAAUGCGUAGAUAUGCGGAGGAACACCGAUGGCGAAGGCAAUCCCCUGGACCUGUACUGACGCUCAUGCACGAAAGCGUGGGGAGCAACAGG